CUAUUAUUUUCAGUGUAAAAAAAAUUAACUUGAGUAAUAUUAGUUAUGUUCUUGAAACUUAAAGAAUUUGGCGGUAUUAUAGUCUAUUUAGAGGAAUCUGUUAUAUAAUCGAUAAUCCCCGUUGAACCUUACUUACAUUAUAUUCUUGUAUACCACUGUUUAGUGAAUAUACUUAAAGGUUAAUUUUCGAGAUAUUUUAUUUAUUAAUAUUUCAAGUCAAGGUGCAGUCAUAUGUAAGUUGAGUAAUGGAUUACAAUAAAAUGUAUUUAAAUGGAUAUCUAUUUAAAAGAGGAUAAAGAAAGUGGAUUUAAUUGUAAUUUUAAAGAAGAUUAUUAAAAUGAUUUAAGCCCUAUAAUAUGUACACAUCGC
rnacentral:rRNA from 1 species